rnacentral:sRNA from 1 species
CUGAUGAGUGAUAUCCGGGCGAGCAUCGCUGAUAUCCCGAUUCAUCUUGCGCAUGACGCCAAUGUGCUCAUCGCUGUUGAGCAGCGAGUAUUUCUCCUCCCUGCCAUUGGCAUUUCUGCCGCUUGGCGAGGCGCGGUAUGUUUCCAGACUCGCGUUGGAAAGGACCACGAUCAGUCGUUUGGUUUCCUUAUCGUGGGAGGCGAUGGGGACAUGCUGUUCAGCGACCAGCUGAGGGAGUUCGGGGGGAGGGCAGGAUUGGGUUCCUGAAGUGCCAAAGACGGUGCUCCGGUUAGCAGUCAUGAUUUCGCGGUCUCCUCCUCCUCCUUCUACUUCUGAAGAAUUCGUUCUGAUCCUAUUUCGUGAUGUGCCCGGGAAAGCGUAGAAUGGAUGAAAAGCGAAAAGCAAAUGGAACAUUCCCGGAAACUCUUGUAUGAACCGGACUCUUCCUUUUCCAAUUCAAAAGAAGCGGAAUAUUCCUUUACUUCACACUACAAUGCGGGGUUGGAUUGGAUUUGGGUUGGUUGGGGUGUAAGCACACAAACAUCAUCGCAGCAGCGAGGGGAAAAAAAAAAAAAAAUUCGUGCCCAAAAAUGACCAACUUAGAGCUGUAUCUUUUCUUCGUCGGGCAGCCACCAACAGAAAAAACGAAACGAAACGAAAAAGUUUAAAAAAAAUGAAAAUAAAAUAAUAAAAGGACUUACUAGGCCGCUUUCUUUUGCUCUCAGCCGGAUUGGUCAUCUUGUAGAAGUGGAUUAAGACUGGUGUUUGAUAGCGGGAUAGGACAAUCGCACACAAACGGCGGGGAAGCAAUAGGAAGGAAAGGGCUGCUGGAUGUGAGACAAUUGAAAAGAAUAAUGAGGUGAUCGGGGGGAAUCCUCUCCUCUUAUUAAACAGUCUCGACCAAGCCAGGUGCUGGGAAGUUGAAUAGGGCGAAAUAAAAAUCAGUCAAUAGAAAGGAGAGAAAAACAGAAAGGAACGGGAGAAAAGGAAAUAAAAUAAAAUAAAAUAAAAUGCUAGGGCACCAACG